rnacentral:ncRNA from 1 species
GCACCACAACGGCUUCCUGACGUGGCGCAAGUUUUAUAUUGGAGCA